CCUCUCUCAGGGUCGCACCUGGAGAGUUUCCAGUAAUCUACCAGUCACAGCUGCAGGAGGGAGAGUCCAGCAGAGGUCUACCCAUUUCAUUCCUAGCUUGGGCAGUGGCUAGUGAGUGGAAGGCAAUCUGCUACAAGU